rnacentral:rRNA from 1 species
GAGGCAGCAGUGGGGAAUAUUGCACAAUGGGCGCAAGCCUGAUGCAGCCAUGCCGCGUGUAUGAAAAAGGCCUUCGGGUUGUAAAGUACUUUCAGUCGUGAGGAAGGUGUUAAGGUUAAUAACCUUAGCAAUUGACGUUAGCGACAGAAGAAGCACCGGCUAACUCCGUGCCAGCAGCCGCGGUAAUACGGAGGGUGCGAGCGUUAAUCGGAAUUACUGGGCGUAAAGGGCACGCAGGCGGUUAAUUAAGUUGGAUGUGAAAUCCCCGGGCUUAACCUGGGAAUGGCAUUCAAGACUGGUUAGCUAGAGUCUUGUAGAGGGGGUAGAAUUCCAUGUGUAGCGGUGAAAUGCGUAGAGAUGUGGAGGAAUACCGGUGGCGAAGGCGGCCCCUGGACAAAGGCUGACGCUCAUGUGCGAAAGCGUGGGGAGCGAAACAGGGAUUAGAUACC